rnacentral:rRNA from 1 species
GCUUGCGGCGGCUACACAUGCAGUCGAGCGGUAACAGAUCCAGCUUGCUGGAUGCUGACGAGCGGCGGACGGGUGAGUAAUGCAUAGGAAUCUGCCCGAUAGUGGGGGAUAACCUGGGGAAACCCAGGCUAAUACCGCAUACGUCCUACGGGAGAAAGGGGGCUUCGGCUCCCGCUAUCGGAUGAGCCUAUGUCGGAUUAGCUAGUUGGUGAGGUAACGGCUCACCAAGGCCACGAUCCGUAGCUGGUCUGAGAGGAUGAUCAGCCACAUCGGGACUGAGACACGGCCCGAACUCCUACGGGAGGCAGCAGUGGGGAAUAUUGGACAAUGGGGGGAACCCUGAUCCAGCCAUGCCGCGUGUGUGAAGAAGGCCCUCGGGUUGUAAAGCACUUUCAGCGAGGAAGAACGCCUAGCGGUUAAUACCCGCUAGGAAAGACAUCACUCGCAGAAGAAGCACCGGCUAACUCCGUGCCAGCAGCCGCGGUAAUACGGAGGGUGCAAGCGUUAAUCGGAAUUACUGGGCGUAAAGCGCGCGUAGGUGGCUUGAUAAGCCGGUUGUGAAAGCCCCGGGCUCAACCUGGGAACGGCAUCCGGAACUGUCAAGCUAGAGUGCAGGAGAGGAAGGUAGAAUUCCCGGUGUAGCGGUGAAAUGCGUAGAGAUCGGGAGGAAUACCAGUGGCGAAGGCGGCCUUCUGGACUGACACUGACACUGAGGUGCGAAAGCGUGGGUAGCAAACAGGAUUAGAUUCCUU